rnacentral:lncRNA from 1 species
GAGGCAUACCUCCAGCGACUCUCAGAGGCAGCAGGAGCUGGUGCUGUGAGGACGGAGUGGGACAACCUGUGAAGAUGCCGG